GCCUGGCCCUAAAUCUUGAUGCUUACCCUACGAAAGUAUCCGCCCGAGAACUACGAGCACAAACGCUUAAAACUCUAAGGACUUGGCGGUGCCCCAAACCCACCUAGAGGAGCCUGUUCUGUAAUCGACAACCCACGAUGCACCCGACCACUUCUUGCCAAAACAGCCUACAUACCGCCGUCGCCAGCUCACCUCCCCUGAGAGCACAACAGUGAGCACAAUCGCCCUAACCCCGCUAACAAGACAGGUCAAGGUAUAGCCCAUGAAGUGGCAGAAAUGGGCUACAUUUUCUAGCUUAGAAAACCCCUUCCUAAACGAAAGAGAGUAUGAAACAACUCUCAGAAGGCGGAUUUAGCAGUAAAGUGGGAUAAUAAAGCCCCCUUUAAACUGGCUCUGAGGCAC
rnacentral:rRNA from 1 species